rnacentral:rRNA from 1 species
UGGGGAAUAUUGGACAAUGGGCGAAAGCCUGAUCCAGCCAUGCCGCGUGGGUGAAGAAGGCCUUAGGGUUGUAAAGCCCUUUCGGCGGGGACGAUGAUGACGGUACCCGCAGAAGAAGCUCCGGCUAACUUCGUGCCAGCAGCCGCGGUAAUACGAAGGGGGCUAGCGUUGCUCGGAUUUACUGGGCGUAAAGGGCGCGUAGGCGGUCAUGUCAGUCGGGCGUGAAAGCCCCGGGCUCAACCUGGGAAUUGCGUUCGAGACGGCAUGACUUGAGGUCGAGAGAGGAUGGUGGAACUCCCAGUGUAGAGGUGAAAUUCGUAGAUAUUGGGAAGAACACCGGUGGCGAAGGCGGCCAUCUGGCUCGAUCCUGACGCUGAGGCGCGAAAGCGUGGGGAGCAAACAGGA